CCUACGCGCGGCAGCAGUGAGGAAUAUUGGUCAAUGGACGCAAGUCUGAACCAGCCAUGCCGCGUGCAGGAAGACGGCUCUAUGAGUUGUAAACUGCUUUUGUACGAGGGUAAACGCAGAUACGCGUAUCUGUCUGAAAGUAUCGUACGAAUAAGGAUCGGCUAACUCCGUGCCAGUAGCCGCGGUAAUACGGAGGAUUCAAGCGUUAUCCGGAUUUAUUGGGUUUAAAGGGUGCGUAGGCGGUCGGAUAAGUUAGAGGUGAAAUCCCGAGGCUCAACUUCGGAAUUGCCUCUGAUACUGUUCGGCUAGAGAGUAGUUGCGGUAGGCGGAAUGUAUGGUGUAGCGGUGAAAUGCUUAGAGAUCAUACAGAACACCGAUUGCGAAGGCAGCUUACCAAGCUACUUCUGACGUUGAGGCACGAAAGCGUGGGGAGCAAACAGGAUUAGAUACCCCAGUAGUC
rnacentral:rRNA from 1 species